rnacentral:rRNA from 1 species
ACGGGAGGCAGCAGUGGGGAAUAUUGGACAAUGGGCGAAAGCCUGAUCCAGCGACGCCGCGUGAGUGAAGAAGUAUUUCGGUAUGUAAAGCUCUAUCAGCAGGGAAGAUAAUGACGGUACCUGACUAAGAAGCCCCGGCUAACUACGUGCCAGCAGCCGCGGUAAUACGUAUGGGGCAAGCGUUAUCCGGAUUUACUGGGUGUAAAGGGAGCGUAGACGGCGAAGCAAGUCUGAAGUGAAAUGCCGGGGCUUAACCCCGGAACUGCUUUGGAAACUGUUUUGCUAGAGUGCAGGAGAGGUAAGCGGAAUUCCUAGUGUAGCGGUGAAAUGCGUAGAUAUUAGGAGGAACACCAGUGGCGAAGGCGGCUUACUGGACUGUAACUGACGUUGAGGCUCGAAGGCGUGGGGAGCAAACAGGAUUAAAUACCCUGGUA